AGAGUUUGAUCAUGGCUCAGAGCGAACGUUAGCGGCGCGCCUAACACAUGCAAGUCGCACGGAGUAGCAAUACUCAGUGGCGCACGGGUGCGUAACACGUAGAUAACCUGCCCCGAAGAGGGGGAUAACGUUCCGAAAGGAGCGCUAAUACCGCAUAACGCCGAGACGGGUUCGCCUGUUUCGGACAAAGGCUGGGACCAGCAAUGGCCAGUCGUUUUGGGAGGGGUCUGCGGCCCAUCAGCUAGUUGGUAAGGUAAAGGCUUACCAAGGCAAAGACGGGUAGCUGGUCUGAGAGGAUGAUCAGCCACACUGGUACUGGAACACGGACCAGACUCCUACGGGAGGCAGCAGUGGGGAAUCUUGGUCAAUGGGCGCAAGCCUGAACCAGCGACGCCGCGUGAGUGAUGAAGGCCUUCGGGUUGUAAAGCUCUGUGGGGAGGGACGAAAGACUGAGGUCUAAUAGGCUUCAGGUUGACGGUACCCCUAGCAAGGAC
rnacentral:rRNA from 1 species